UGAGGAAUAUUGGUCAAUGGCCGAGAGGCUGAACCAGCCAAGUCGCGUGAGGGAAGAAUGUCCUAAGGAUUGUAAACCUCUUUUGCCGGGGAGCAAAGGCGCCACGCGUGGCGAGCUGAGAGUACCCGGAGAAAAAGCAUCGGCUAACUCCGUGCCAGCAGCCGCGGUAAUACGGAGGAUGCGAGCGUUAUCCGGAUUUAUUGGGUUUAAAGGGUGCGUAGGCGGUCUGUCAAGUCAGCGGUCAAAUCGAGGGGCUCAACCCCUUUCCGCCGUUGAAACUGGCGGGCUUGAGUGGGCGAGAAGUAUGCGGAAUGCGAGGUGUAGCGGUGAAAUGCAUAGAUAUCACGCAGAACUCCGAUUGCGAAGGCAGCAUACCGGCGCCCGACUGACGCUGAGGCACGAAAGCGUGGGGAUCGAACAGG
rnacentral:rRNA from 1 species